rnacentral:lncRNA from 1 species
UCCAAGAUUGGAUUCAGCAGGACAAUAAUCAUGUAGAACAUAUACGAAUACAGGUCAUCCAAAUGUCCCCCAUCUAUCUUAUUUCUUUGCCUAUGAUGCGCCAAAGGAAAUAUUUUACAAUGCCUUGUAGUCUUGUCCUCCAGGCAUUCGCUUCGUGCGCUAGAAGAUCGAUGAAGAAGUUGUGCCGCAUCGUUAUAGCAUCCUAUAAGUAAGAUAAGUGCUACUUCAAGUUAAGCUUGGAUUUAUCGUAUAUUGUAAAAUUACAAAGGAACGUACAACAAAGCAUAUUUACUCACUUUUUCGAUGUGCACGUUUCGAGGACUAUCCCACCAUACCAUGUAUUGUAGAAUAAGCCAUCCAUCUGAAAAUCUGUGGUACGAUGAAUCGUCAGCUAUAUAAAUAUACGAACAUAUCUUUUAAGAAAUAAAGGAUAUUGACA